AGUCUGACCUGUAGUAAACAGGGCCUGGCAGAGGCAAACUUCUUGGUUGAAAAGCACUCCCAUCCAUAUGCAUAAUGAUGAGAGUAACCCAGUACCUCACUUGACUGAUUAACAAUUUAAAUUCUCAAUUUUAGAGGUUCAAAUUAGUGUUAAAUCUCCUUUAGAAGCUCUAAUGAAUUUAAUUAAACUAAUUAAAUUAAGAUUUUUCAGCAUCUUUUACAACUUUAUGUUUUAGGGACAAUUAGUCCAAUACAGUCCUGAAGCGGUACAUUUUCUAACAAUGAUCUCUGUAUAAAUUAAACAAUUAAAUAUACCGGAUUUAUAUCUCACCUUCUGUUUUCUCAUUGCAGUUUCCAACUCAUCUCGAGUACAAUUAAAGUGACAAAGAAAAAAGGUCCCCUUUACAAAGCCCAUAAUGAGAGAGACUCCGAAAAACUCAACACAUCCUGAAGCAGAGAUGACAAAAGCAUCUAUUCCAGGAAGGGAAAGCUGUCAUGAGUAAGACAGAGAGUGAGGGAGAAGACACAUGGUGAGUGUGGUCCCGAGAGCUUCUCUGCUUUACUUAGGAGUGUCCUUCUGUUAAGAAGAGCAGUAACUCAGGUGCCAUGGUAAUGAAAGGAUUUUAAUCAUUGACAUCACUAUGUGAAUUAUUAUUACAGAAACCCCUGCUGUUGAGUUAGACAAAAUUAACCCAGUGUAUGGGGCAUUAAAAAAAAAAAAAACCUCAGCUAAUUAGUGAGCGAAUAAGAACAAAGAAAAUGGGAAAACAAAGAUGUGGAGAGGAAAGAUGCUUAGGAUCAUCUAACUAAUAUAGCUCGGCUUCGUUGGAGGAAACCAUUUAUCUGGACGAAAUGACACCGUGGUCCAGGUUGCAGGUCCCCUAUGGAACGUGGAGAGCAAGUCAUAGGUUUAAAUCACUGCGUGGCUUACAUUUUUUCUGCAGCUAGUCAUGCUGGUUUCCAAUGGGCAAUGCAUCAUGCUGCUGAUGUAAGAGCCGAAAUGAAGACAAUCAACCCUGAGAAUCCACCAGAGAAGUAUUCAUGCUGGGCGCCAUUUGUUCCUAAUUGCUCUUUGUAAGUUAUAGUUUGAGAUAAAGCUCCCAAAAUGGAAUAAACACAAAAUAAUAA